rnacentral:rRNA from 1 species
CACGUAGGGGGCAAGCGUUGUCCGGAUUUAUUGGGCGUAAGGAGCUCGUAGGCGGCUGAGUAAGUCGGAUGUCAAAUCCUCAGGCUCAACCUGGGGCUCCAUCCGAUACUGCUCUGGCUAGAGUCCGGUAGGGGAGCGUGGAAUUCCUGGUGUAGCGGUGAAAUGCGUAGAUAUUAGGAGGAAUACCAGUUGCGAAGGCGGCUCUCUGGACUGUAACUGACACUGAGGCACGAAAGCGUGGGGAGCAAACAGGAUUAGAUA